CGUCACGGAAGCUUCGAGGCAUGGGGAUUUUCACGGCACCUGCCAAGGGUAAGGAGAUGGGUGCUUUGUCUCAUGAGAUGUGCUUUAGGAAUGGCAUAAUGUCUUUGACACCCCCCAUCCUGCUUUCUGGCCAUUGCUGGGAGCAAUUCCCAGAAAUGUCACUGACUUCUUAGGUGAGACCAUGGUGGCCUGGCCAGUGUGAACCUCCCUUCCUUAGGACUCCUUAGUGAAUAAAGUACGUUGUUUAGCCCUCUGCUUAGAUAUGGACUUGUCUUCUAGGACAUGGGCCAUGCUUGAUGGAGCGGGACCUUUGUAGUAUGUCAACAGUUGGCCCAAAUUGAGAGGGACUUUUGUGUCAUGUCAACAACUGGCCCAGCUGGACAGCACACACUUCUUUAUGCAGUGUGUGCUGCUGUGACUCCUUGUGCAGAAUGCUCAUCCUCAGGGAGACAUUGAGACCAUCUCUAGGGAGUGGGCAAGGGGUAGUGCUCUUGACCAUGGCAAUCCAUGACUUUUCAGGAGUGGCUUCCACACAUGCUUCAAUAAUCCCCGAUGCGAGAUAAGGAUGGCCUUGUGUGUUGCCUAACGUUAUCUGUGUGACCUUGGGUGAACUCCUUAAGCUUGACUCUGUGCCUCAGUUUCCUUCACCUGUAAAAUGGAGUUCGUAACAGUAGCUGCCUCUGAGAGGGUAGGAACAGAAACUAUAUAGAGAGAGUAAAAGUGCUUAGAACACUCUCUAGCCCAUAGAGAACUUAAGUAAGUACCACCCUUGUGGUACUGAUGUUGUGCAAUAGCAGAACUUCGGUACGGAUGUCAUUAUCUGCUAGAACUUGGUUAAUUGGCUGGUUAUCCAAUGGGAUGGGAGUUCCCUUUGGGGGCAGAAUCUCUCUCCCUCUCUCCCUUUUGCCUACUACUGUGCCCCCAAGUGCACUUGGGGUAUACUUGGUGAAUGAAUGGCUGAGUCCCAUGGCAGGUGCCUAUUUUCAUUACUAAUACCUCUCAGAAGCCUCCUGGAAGCCAGGGAGAUCACAGGGACAGCGGCCUGAGCCAUGUGCUUCACUCCCGCCCGCAUGGAGCAGGUACCAUCCACACCGAGGUCAGGGCCACCCCCUGCGCCUGACGCUGGAUGGAGCAGACAGUCGGAGGCCUGCGGGGAUCGAUCGCAACACGACGACUCUCAUUUCUGUGCUAAGUCUACCUCAGGAGGAUUCCGGCGGAGAGACUACCUUUGGGGACGGACGUCAGUGUUCUCUCAGUAUCCCUGAAGCACACUGCCACCCUCCAGACUUGGCCAGCAGCUGGAACGCGCCCCGGGGUGGGUGUGUCGGGGCAGCCGCCCGAUAUGCCCUGAGCGUCGAGGUGAUGUGUCCACCUGGCUCCCUCGCCCUCCCUGCUCACUCGCUUCUUGGGAACCCUCCCGCCUGGAGGCGCCUGGCAUGCAGGACCCAGGCCAGGCCCGCAGCAAAGGGCCGCUGAAUGCUUGCUGACUGACUAACAGAGACCCUGAGCACAGGGACGACCAGGGGCAGGGAGGAGCAGCUGGUGAUGGUGCUGAAGGCGGACACGAAUAUGCUACUAGGGGAUCUUUGGCGCGGCCGGUGCUUCCAGCUCUCUCUGCCCUUGAACGAGGUCCUUUGAGGCUUGCGGCAGUCCCACCGGCCCGGCCCUUCGGAGCUCCAAGCGUUCUGUGAAGCAGAAGUCUCGGUCUACUGCAAGGACCUCACACGUUUCCAACGGCUUCAAAAUGCCCCUUGUUCUUGGAGAAGGCCAGCCCUUCCCUGGGCAUCUGGACCCCAGUCUCCUGCCGGACUGGUGUCCCAUCUCCCAGAGGAAGACAGCAGAGCCUGGAGGUGCAGAGGGCCCCGCCACCCCACUUCAAAGGACUGAUGGUGCACCCUGCUGGGGAUGGGACAAGACAGGAUGGGAAGAAAGCAAACUGCCCCCCCCCCCCUCCUCCCAGUGCCCCGCGUGGGGCUGGCCUGGCCCAAGUCUUUUCUCUUCCUCCAACCUUCUGAGCCGCUGUCAGGCGAUUUGAAGAAUAAAUGUACGUUGCAGAAACCCA